GACGUAGGGCGCGAGCGUUAUUCGGAAUUAUUGGGCGUAAAGGGCGCGUAGGCGGCCUGGCAAGUGGAAGGUGAAAUCCCUCGGCUCAACUGAGGACGUGCGGAAGAAACUGCAGGGCUGGAGUCCGGGAGAGGAGGGUGGAAUUCCCAGUGUAGCGGUGAAAUGCGUAGAUAUCGAGAGGAACACCUGCGGCGAAGGCGGGUUGCUGGGCCGACACUGACGCUGAGGCGCGAAAGCUAGGGGAGCGAACGGG
rnacentral:rRNA from 1 species